UACGUAGGUGGCAAGCGUUGUCCGGAAUUACUGGGCGUAAAGCGUGCGCAGGCGGCUUCUCAAGUCAGGGGUGAAAGCCCAGAGCUCAACUCUGGAAUUGCCUUUGAGACUGAGUGGCUUGAGUACGAGAGAGGUGAGUGGAAUUCCCAGUGUAGAGGUGAAAUUCGUAGAUAUUGGGAAGAACACCGGUGGCGAAGGCGGCUCUCUGGACCGUAACUGACGCUGAGGCGCGAAAGCGUGGGGAGCAAACAGG
rnacentral:rRNA from 1 species